UGAUCCUGGCUCAGAUUGAACGCUGGCGGGAUGCUUUACACAUGCAAGUCGAACGGCAGCACGGACUUCGGUCUGGUGGCGAGUGGCGAACGGGUGAGUAAUGUAUCGGAACGUGCCUAGUAGCGGGGGAUAACUACGCGAAAGCGUAGCUGUACCACAUACGCCCUUCGGGGAAAGCGGGGACCUUCGGGCCUCGCACUAUUAGAGCGGCCGAUAUCGGAUUGGCUAGUUGGUGGGGUAACGGCUCGCAGGGGCGACGAUCCGUAGCUGGUUUGAGAGAGAGAGGACGACCAGCCACACUGGGACUGAGACACGGCCCAGACUCCUGCGGGAGGCAGCAGUGGGGAAUUUUGGACAAUGGGGGAAACCCUGAUCCAGCCAUCCCGCGUGUGCGAUGAAGGCCUUCGGUUGUAAAGCACUUUGGCAGGAAAGAAACGGCACGGGAUAUUACCCCGUGCAACUGACAGUACCUGCAGAAUAAGCACCGGCUAACUACGUGCCAGCAGCCGCGGUAAUACGUAGGGUGCAAGCGUUAAUCGGAAUUACUGGGCGUAAAAGUGCGCAGGCGGUUCGGAAAGAAGAUGUGAAAUCCCAGGCUUAACUUUGGAACUGCAUUUUUAACUACCGAGCUAGAGUGUGUCAGAGGGAGGUGGAAUUCCGCGUGUAGCAGUGAAAUGCGUAGAUAUGCGGAGGAACACCGAUGGCGAGGCAGCCUCCUGGGAUAACACUGACGCUCAUGCACGAAAAGCGUGGGAGCAAACAGGAUUAGAUACCCUGGUAGUCCACGCCCUAAACGAUGUCAACUAGCUGUUGGGGCCUUCGGGCCUUGGUAGCGCAGCCUAACGCGUGAAGUUGACCCGCCUGGGAAGUACGGUCGCAAGAUUAAAACUCAAGGAAUUGACGGGGACCCGCACAAGCGGUGGAUGAUGUGGAUUAAUUCGAUGCAACGCGAAAAACCUUACCUACCCUUGACAUGUCUGGAAUCCGAAGAGAUUUGGAGUGCUCGCAAAAGAGAACCGGAACACAGGUGCUGCAUAGCUGUCGUCAGCUCGUGUCGUGAGAUGUUGGGUUAAGUCCGCAACGAGCGCAACCCUUGUCAUUAGUUGCUACGAAAGGGCACUCUAAUGAGACUGCCGGAGACAAACCGGAGGAAGGUGGGGAUGACGUCAAGUCCUCAUGGCCCUUAUGGGUGACUUCACACGUCAUACAAUGGUCGGGACAGAGGGUCGCCAACCCGCGAGGGGGAGCCAAUCCCAGAAACCCGAUCGUAGUCCGGAUCGCAGUCUGCAACUCGACUGCGUGAAGUCGAGAUCGCUAGUAAUCGCGGAUCAGCAUGUCGCGGUGAAUACGUUCCGGGUCUUGUACACACCGCCCGUCACACCAUGGGAGUGGGUUUUACCAGAGUAGUUAGCCUAACCGUAAGGAGGGCGAUUACCACGGUAGGAUUCAUGACUGGGGUGAAGUCA
rnacentral:rRNA from 1 species